UUUUCCAUCUUUUGCAAUAUUUGACGCUCACUCUCUUUCGAGAUAUGUUAUUCACUCUUGUUCUCGUCGUUGCACUUCAUCUUCAAGGUUUCUCACCAUUGUCGGCAUCAAGGGGCCACCUGCUCCUCCACUGCUAAACCUUCGUGAGCCGCCGUACGUCAUUCGAUGACCAUUCCUCCUCUGCAGUAGCCACCGCGAGCACCUCCUUGUUGCGCCUCACCUAGGGUUCUAACCGCAGUGCGCUAGCCCGCGACCUCUGUGCCUUCCCUAGGUCAUUCUCAACAAUUCAAUGGGAGUACGUAACUGAAUCGUCAAUUCUCGAUCCAAAAUCGACAAUGUCUUAGGGUUUGGGUUGGAAGAGACCUUCGGAGAUCUUCCACCUCACUCUCAGCUAUGGCACCGACGAUCUGCUGGAGAAUAUCGCUCGUACUUCAUCCUUUUCCCGGUCCUCCUUUUCCUCUUCUUCGUUGUCUUCAUCCGCUUCCACUUCCUCAAUCAUCUCCCAGGAUCAGGAGCUCAGGUUUCGCAUUGAAUUGGAUUGGUCGGCGUCAGCGGACGAGGACCAGGUGGCGUUAAAGCUUCAAUCGUAGCUGAUGGUGGCGCUACCGAUGCUGUGGGAGACGGUGGUGGUUGAGCUCUCGCCUCGGGACGAUGAUGAGAACGUGGUGGAUUUGGGAAUGAAGGUUGUUAAGCGACGAGAGCCUCUCAGAUCGUCGAAGAUGCCGCCGUUGUCGCUCUGGCAACCACUGGACCAGUCUCUCUAUUCUGAGCCUAUGUAGUUGUGGCUUGUCGAUUCAAUUCGAGAUAUUUGUUGGAACCUACACGCCGUAAGCAAUUCAGUUUGGAAGAAUUUGAGAAUUUCUUGCUCUCUCGCUUCUCCAAGGAUGUUAAGGUAAUUUUCUGAAUCACAGUCAAACCGUAGAGGGAAGGUUUUGAAUUUGAACAAUUUUGGGAUUUGUUAGGAGGAAAAUCAGAAUAUCCCAGUCAAAAGAUCGUUAGAGAGGCUGAAAGUGAUCUUCACCUAUUUUCCCAUCCCCCUUCUGAAGGCAAAGAGUUGACUUCCUUUUAAUGGUUUUCUUCCAAUACCUGACAGGGCAAUGUGCAGGAAAUUUAAAGAUUCGGAUACUGGUAGUUCCUCAGCCUCUGGGUCUCAUUUUGUCAGAUUGGGAGUAUAUUUUACCCAUGCUCAUUCUUGGUGCUGGACUCUCCCAUUGUGGAGUUUCUAUUUGGACUGGAUAUGCUCCGAAAACACCAGGUACCAUUCUCAGUUGCACUCUCUGAUAUCAUUUCCUUCAGUUGUUGCUCGAAGCUGCUAUUCUUAUAGAGAAAGACAUACCAUCUCGGCUUUUAGAUGAGGAAAAGUAUGCUAAGGAAGCUUCUGGCUCUGGUGGCCAUGAUACGAUUCGUACUAGAAGUAAGAAAAGUACAAAACCUCUUCUUGAAGGAUUAAAUGAAAGGAGGGGGAAGAAAGUCAGAAGACCAUCUAGAGAAUUAUUCCUUUCUCCUGAAGGACUUUUGCAACCCUCACCAGAAGCAUUUAACUAGAGCACAUAAGAGAUGGCUGAGGAGGAAGCUCCUAGAAGACGUACUCUGGCGGAUGCUACUGCUAUUGUUGGCACUCAACAUUUUACUAGUAUUGCAAGGCCGAGGAUCAAUGCUUUGAACAUGGAGAUGAAGCCGGCGUUGACUCACUUGGUGUAGAGCAACUAAUUUAAUGGACUGCCACAUGAAAGUCCAUAUGAUCAUCUUACCACGUUUAAUGAGAUUUGCAACAUGGUGAAGAUCAAUGGUGUGACAGAUGAGAUGAUUAAACUUAGCUUGUUUCCUUUCUCAUUGGGAGGCAAUGCUAAAUUGUGGUUGAAUUCGUUUCCGGAGGAUAGCUUUACUACUUGGGAGGCUGUGGUGGCAAAAUUUUUUAAUAAAUAUUUUCCACAGUCUAAGAUUAACUAGGCCAAGCAUGAGACAAAUUUAAAAGUUUGCUGAGAAACACACAUGUGCAUGGUUUUGAUGAGACAACUGUAGUUCUCACGUUUCUUAGAGGUCUUGGUACAUAGUCAAAGCUUAUGCUAGAUGCCUCAACUGAAGGUAAUAUCAAGAGAAAGACUGUUGAUGAGGCCUGUGAGUUGAUUGAAAGCAUGGAAGCAAACGAGAAUGAAAAUCAUAAUGAAAGGGGCGCGACAAUUCAAAAAAGGGGAGUUCUUCAAUUGCCCACUGAAGAUGCCUUGCUUGCACAGAACAAGCUUUUAACUAAACAAUUAGAGAGUCUGACAAAGACUAUUGCUCAACUGCCGAUUGAAUUAAAGAAUAUUUCUCAGGUACAACAACAACUUUGUGAUCGUUGUGGUCGUGACCAUAUCAAUGGUCAAUGUGCUUUUCCAGAGGAAGCCCAAGAAGAAGAAGCAAAUUACAUGGGCAACCAGUUUCAAUACCGCCAGGGUAACUUUAACCAAGGUAAUUACAACCAAGGUUGGAAGAAUCACCCUAGCAUUGGGCAAAGUCAGAAUAAUCAAACUGGACAACCUGGAGGCCAAUUUAAUAGACCGCAACAAUCACCACUAUGGCAACAGGUGGCUAAUUUGGCGGAUCAUGUCAAAAGUCUUGACGAGAAAUUUGAUAAAUUUAUGAAGGUGUAUGAUUCUAACUGCAAAGGAUUUUCAGGAAUGUAGAGACUCAAAUUGGUCAAUUAUCUAAAAGGGUGGAGGUCACAGAGAAACAUCAAUUUGGGGCUAAUACUAAAGUUAACCCUAGAGAAGAUUAGAAAGUUGUUGUGAGCAUAGUUGAGGAAAGAGUGGAGAAAGAAAUUGUUGAGUUAGAAAGAGGAAAAAGAAGAAAAAUGUAAGGGGGAGAAUAGAGAAUAAAAAGAGAAGAGGGAAGAGAAAAAAAUAGAAAAAGAUAAGAUAGAAAAAGAUAGAGAUAACGUGCAAUUGUAGGAUUUGUAAGAGAAGUGUUUAAAGAUGAUAAAGCAAUAACACACUUUUAUUUAUACUGGUUCACUCCACCGAGCUAUGUCCAAUCUCCUCUAAUACCUUAGAGGGUUCCAGUAUAAUCUUCAAUAAAAUUACAACUCAAUAUUCUCACCUCUUUUGGUAUCUCUAGUCACUCCAAUUAGCCACCAUUACUUUGACUAGAACCGAACUACACCCAUUCUUAGUUGUGCAAUAUUCUUCACCACUCUUAGUAUGACUAGCCAAUCAAAAUAUCUUCCCGAUAUGAUAUCUAGUUGAGUUUAACCCAAUCUUGGUUCCUACUAGAAAUACCCGUCUAGCUCCCGUUUAACUUGACCCAGUUAAACAUUACUAAGUUUGACGCACUCUUGGUUUCUACUAGACACAUCCAUCUAGCUAUCAUUUAACUUUACCAAGCUAAACGUAAAGUGUCUUAAUUGUCCUCAAAAUUUACAAUCAAAAGAUUGGUUACAAGUCUUUAAACGAUAACCCUCACAAAAAGGAUAUGUGUUCAACACAAUGCAAUCUAACAUACUCACUGAAUAUUUUCUCUCUUCUCUCUUCUUACAAAAGUAAGCUUUUAUGACAAUGAAUUCUUGAGCCUUUCUCUCUAAGAUAUUCUUAUAUGCUUUUUUAGCUUUUCUCUCGACAUUGUUUGCUUGAGCCUUUUUCUUCAAUAUGUUAUUCUCUUGAUUCUCUUUUUAAAUGUUCUUCUAUUUAAAUCCUGCUAAAAAAGAAAUCGAUUAGGUAGAGCUUUGCUUUGAUUUUUGAGUCUUCCUAGUCUUGUUGUGUGUAGCAGUCGUUGGUUAAAGUCAACUUGUCAAAGUAGGCAAACUUUUUCAGUACUUUAACAAAAGUAGGUAGUACAAUUUUCCUAGCAUGACUUUUGAUGAAGAGAACAUUCCGUGAAUGUCUUCUUUGUUCCCAACAUCCAUUUCUGAUUUGUAUAGGAUGGAGUAGGUGGAUGUGUGUAAUAGGCAAUAUGCACGAAGUAGAGUAGAUAUGCAUGUAGUAGAUAUAUCAUUUUUCUUAUCACUUUAUUUGUUUUUAAACAUUGAGCAUUUAAUGACAUUUAAUAUCAUUUUAGAUCAACAUUUUUUUUUUUUUACAUUUUCUACUGUUCAUAUAAGAUUUGAUCAUUUAAACUUUUUAUCAAGAUACCAAGUUGUUAAUGAAAAUUUCACCGUUGGAUAAAGUAGAUCGUUUGACACAUGGCAUCGUCUAGCCUAUGUAAACGAUUUUAGGUUCUUCUCUAUUAUAUUCAACAAAUGUGUUUGACAAUAUGUUUUACUACAUAAAUUUUUAGAAUAUUAUUUGAGACUUUUCAACAUGCUUCCUAAAUUAUUUGUCAAUUUUAUAUAUCAAGACAUAUUGAGAUUUUGUUUGAUUAUUAACUAGCGAUGUAUAACAUUUGCAUUCAGCAAGACUCUCAUUUGGGCAUUGACAGGGAAAUCGUUUAAAGGUGUAUUUAUUCUUACUAGGUGUUUUACUAAGAAUUUGCCUAAGCUCUUUGGGUUUCUUAGAGUAUUUUCACAAAUUGCUUAUAUUUUACCUAUGUUGUUAUUCUAAUGACAACACUCUCAUUUGCUCAUUUCACUUAAUGUUAUGUGUUAAACUUCAAAAUAACACAUGAGAACGUUUAGACAAUUUAAUUCUAUAGACAAUCUUGUCUUAACAGUUGGAUGAACUAAUCACUCAUCUUAUUUCACUAGCUUGGGAUUGAGUGGGAAUUAGUUCAAAGUUGUGGUCCAAAUUAAUUUUCCUCAUGCUUUUAAAUGGUAAGAACAUAUUUAAGGAACUAGUUCAUUAUAGAGUCUUGAUCUUAAUACAAGUGAUUCAUUCAAGGAUUCAUUGAGGGAUCAUAUUGAAGUCUUGAGAUCUCAGACUCUAAGUGCCAGGAAUAGACCUAAACUUACAUUCAAAGAGAACUCACAGGACAUGAUUAAUCAUAUUUUUAUAAAUAACAAUUGAACCUUUACAAGAGAUGGACAAAGUGGGGAAAUCUAAUUUCAACACGCUUUGAUUAUCUUGAAGUCAAUCCUUUUUAAUUCCAAACUAUUUUACAAAGCAUAUUGCUAAAAUAACUUUGUUUUCUUGUAUUAAUUUAGUUUCCACACUCUUUAUGUGCCUUUUAUUGUUAUAUUCAAAGUGAAGCUGGUUUAGAACAUUGUGUUUUCUUCCAAAUCUUUGUAGAUAUGACUCUUGUUGUACUAUAAACUACCCAAUAUACUUACUGGGAAAAUUGAUUGCCUUUGAACCAUCAUCAAUGCCUAAGAUUGUGAGCGUUCAAAUCCCUAAGCGGAUUAUAAUUAGUAUAAAAAGUACGAUGGAUUAAUUGAUGCAGAUGCGCACAUUAAAGCCUACUUGACUUAGUCCAACUUUUUCUACAUGAUAUAUGGAAGUACAUUGUCUUCUCUUGGCAAACUUUCUUAUGGGACGAGCCUUGGUAUUAUUCCCUUAAUUGGUGUAAUACUUUUUCAAUACAUCAUUGUUGAACAAAAUCUUUGAUCCCCGACAACGACACCAAAAACUUGUUAGGUUUGAAUCGACAAGUGUACCGAGUCACACAAGUAAUAUAAAAUGGUAAGACCAAGUAUCGUAUCCUAAAGGACUCUUGGCGCUAAACAGUUGUGUGAUAACAAGAUUAAUUAAGACUUAAAAAGAGGUAAUUGGGUUUGGGAAAAAAUAAUAAGAUAAAAUAAAAUAAAAUUGAUCAGUGGUAAAGGAGCACAUAGAUGAACAAAGGUUGAUUUAUAUGAGAUGGGUAUGUUGUUGGGGUUAGAUUUCACCGAGUUCCCUCUCAUUUAUAUAAGAAUUCUUCUUUAUGCAUUAAUGCCAUUGUCUCUCACUAAAUUACCUACCUCGACCCCUCGGUGAAUAAGCCCGUCCCUAAUUAAUGUCCUUCAGGUGCCUUUUUACGCCCUUCUGAGUUCCAUCUUCUUUGCUUUUCAUCUCUUCUUCCAGUAUUACUUCAAUCUCUGUCAAAAGAAAGAGAAUUAGUCAUAAAAUCA